rnacentral:rRNA from 1 species
GGACUACUGGGGUAUCUAAUCCUGUUUGCUCCCCACGCUUUCGCGCCUCAGCGUCAGUAUUUGGCCAGGUAGCUGCCUUCGCCAUUGACGUUCCUUCCGAUCUCUACGCAUUUCACCGCUACACCGGAAAUUCCGCUACCCUCUCCAAUACUCCAGUCGUGUCGUUUGCGAUGCACUUCCUAGGUUAAGCCCAGGGCUUUCACAUCACACUCACACAACCGCCUACGCGCCCUUUACGCCCAGUUAAUCCGAUUAACGCUCGCACCCUCUGUAUUACCGCGGCUGCUGGCAC